UGUGCCAGCCGCCGCGGUGAUACGGAGGGUGCAAGCGUUAAUCGGAAUUACUGGGCGUAAAGCGCACGCAGGCGGUUUGUUAAGUCAGAUGUGAAAUCCCCGGGCUCAACCUGGGAACUGCAUCUGAUACUGGCAAGCUUGAGUCUCGUAGAGGGGGGUAGAAUUCCAGGUGUAGCGGUGAAAUGCGUAGAGAUCUGGAGGAAUACCGGUGGCGAAGGCGGCCCCCUGGACGAAGACUGACGCUCAGGUGCGAAAGCGUGGGGAGCAAACAGGAUUAGAUACCCUGGUAGUCCACGCCGUAAACGAUGUCGACUUGGAGGUUGUGCCCUUGAGGCGUGGCUUCCGGAGCUAACGCGUUAAGUCGACCGCCUGGGGAGUACGGCCGCAAGGUUAAACUCAAAUGAAUUGACGGGGGCCCGCACAAGCGGUGGAGCAUGUGGUUUAAUUCGAUGCAACGCGAAGAACCUUACCUGGUCUUGACAUCCACGGAAGUUUUCAGAGAUGAGAAUGUGCCUUCGGGAACCGUGAGACAGGUGCUGCAUGGCUGUCGUCAGCUCGUGUUGUGAAAUGUUGGGUUAAGUCCCGCAACGAGCGCAACCCUUAUCCUUUGUUGCCAGCGGUCCGGCCGGGAACUCAAAGGAGACUGCCAGUGAUAAAUUGGAGGAAGGUGGGGAUGACGUCAAGUCAUCAUGGCCCUUACGACCAGGGCUACACACGUGCUACAAUGGCGCAUACAAAGAGAAGCGACCUCGCGAGAGCAAGCGGACCUCAUAAAGUGCGUCGUAGUCCGGAUUGGAGUCUGCAACUCGACUCCAUGAAGUCGGAAUCGCUAGUAAUCGUGGAUCAGAAUGCCACGGUGAAUACGUUCCCGGGCCUUGUACACACCGCCCGUCACACCAUGGGAGUGGGUUGCAAAAGAAGUAGGUAGCUUAACCUUCGGGAGGGCGCUUACCACUUUGUGAUUCAUGACUGGGGUGAAGUCGUAACAAGGUAACCGAA
rnacentral:rRNA from 1 species